UGCAAACGUCACUAGAGCGCGCGGAAUGCUGGCCUGACACAGUCACGAACGGGUUAAAGAUCCAGCGUUAAUGAAAGGUGGAUCAUCCAAAAUAUACACUACUUUCGUUUCUUCACAGGGGUGACAGACAUCGCCCACAGUCUGACAGAGAAAAAUAGAACAACAGGAGUCCAUAUAGAGUAAAGAUUCUAAUAAACAGUAAAGGCACAAGAAUCGAGAAAACGAGGAGUGACAAAACACCUGCACAAACCGCAGUCACAUCUACAGGAAUAAAAAGAACAAGAUUAUAUAAUCACUAUACUAGUUCAUGUUGCUGCAAUAUGUGUGUCGUGAUCAGUAAGCUAUGUAAGGACAAAAACAAAUAAAUUGCCAUUAUAUUACUGUUAUUGUAAGAAUACUAACAGCAACAAUAAAUAUAUAAAAAAGAAGAGUUACCAGAUCUGUUGAUUAAAGGAGUGGAACCUGACGAUAGGACUGUUGGUAACACUUCAUAUGAGUGAAAAAUAUCUACGAGAGACAAAAUCACAGUAUUGCUUGUAAAUAGAGUCAGAUUUUUUUUAUUGUAUUUUUUUAUUACAAUACUAGUGAUAUUAGAUGAAAUGUCAUUAAAUGUCUUGAUGGGUCAACAGUAUCUCUUUUUUGCUGACCGGAUGAACUUUUACCUGCAGAGGUGAGUGUUAUUGUCCAUGUAGAUGCAGUUGUAGUUAUAAUUGUGUUUUCAGGGGUGUGUGAAGGUCUAUCCACUG